UGGUGUGAGGGUAAUCUGGCUGUGACAUCUGUCACCCCACUGAUCAUCAGGAUUGAUUCAGCUGAUCUGGCUGGCUAUGUGGGUGUUCCAUUCCUCCCUCACUGCUCCAUGUGCAUCCCUUCCAAAGCUGUGCACUCAGUGGAAGAGGACAGCCUUCCCCAAUAGAGAUGAACCAAUCUUCAAUUGAGGGUAUACAAGUAGCUGUGCUCCCCAGCUAGAACAUCCAAACAAGCUCUUAAGAAUGUUGAUCUUUUCAACUAGGUCUUCUAGACCAUUCUAGUCUGGUUGUUUUCCAUCAUUAGUAUUA
rfam:Erinaceus europaeus unplaced genomic scaffold scaffold00331, whole genome shotgun sequence